rnacentral:rRNA from 3 species
CACGUAGGGCGCAAGCGUUGUCCGGAAUUAUUGGGCGUAAAGAGCUCGUAGGCGGUCUGCUACGUCCGCUGUGAAAACCUAGGGCUUAACCCUGGGCUUGCAGUAGAUACGGGCAGACUAGAGGUAGGUAGGGGAGAAUGGAAUUCCCGGUGUAGCGGUGAAAUGCGCAGAUAUCGGGAGGAACACCGGUGGCGAAGGCGGUUCUCUGGGCCUUACCUGACGCUGAGGAGCGAAAGCGUGGGGAGCAAACAGG